UGGAAUUAAAACAAAGGCACAGUGAACUCAGCAUCUUUGGGAUUACUCAGGAACCAGAACUUUUCACACAAAUGUAAGAAAUUCUACCAAGGAAUCCCUUUAUCUAACAGCAUCUCACAAAGCUCCAAUCAGAUUCCAGAAAAGGCCUCUUGAUACAUCCAGGUAGAACCUA
rfam:Felis catus cont1.587863, whole genome shotgun sequence.